AAAUUGCGAAAAGUAAUGUGAAUUGCAGAAUUUCGUGAAUCAUCGAAUCUUUGAACGCAUAUUGCACUCUCUGGUCCUCUAGAGAGUAUGCCUGUUUGAGUAUCAUUUACACCACUCAUCUCCUCAAAGGGCGCAAGCCCUAAGAGGCUGAUGGACGUGAGCGUUCGGCGCGUUGUGCUAAACUCCGCAAUGUCGGCCGCUUGAAAUGCAGCGCAGUUGUGCUUGGCACCGCAUGUACUGGCGUAUUAGUUCUCGUUAGAGAUUCCUUACGCACCAACAGUACGGCUUAGCUUGCAACCGCGUACAAACAACACGAGUGCGGUGGCUGUCGACACCGCUCUCAACCUAUUGAUCUCAAAUCAGGCAAGACUACCCGCUGAAUUUAA
rnacentral:misc_RNA from 1 species